GAUUGAACGCUGGCGGCGUGCUUAACACAUGCAAGUCGAUCGGUAACAGGUGUAGCAAUACAUGCUGACGAGAGGCGGACGGGUGAGUAAUGCUUGGGAAUCUGCCUAUUAGUGGGGGACAACCCGGGGAAACUCGGGCUAAUACCGCAUACGCUCUACGGAGGAAAGCCGGGGACCGCAAGGCCUGGCGCUAAUAGAUGAGCCCAAGUCGGAUUAGCUAGUUGGUAGGGAACGGCCUACCAAGGCGACAAUCCGUAGCUGGUCUGAGAGGACGACCAGCCACACCGGAACUGAGACACGGUCCGGACUCCUACGGGAGGCAGCAGUGGGGAAUAUUGGACAAGUGGGGCAACCCUGAUCCAGCGACGCCGCGUGGGUGAAGAAGG
rnacentral:rRNA from 1 species